rnacentral:rRNA from 1 species
GACGAACGCUGGCGGCGUGCUUAACACAUGCAAGUCGAGCGGUAAGGCCCUUUCGGGGGUACACGAGCGGCGAACGGGUGAGUAACACGUGGGUGACCUGCCCUCAGCUCUGGGAUAAGCCUGGGAAACCGGGUCUAAUACUGGAUAUGACUCCAUGACGCAUGUUGUGGGGUGGAAAGCCUUGUGCGGCUGAGGAUGGGCCCGCGGCCUAUCAGCUUGUUGGUGGGGUGANGGCCUACCAAGGCGACGACGGGUAGCCGGCCUGAGAGGGCGACCGGCCACACUGGGACUGAGACACGGCCCAGACUCCUACGGGAGGCAGCAGUAAGGAUAUUGCGCAAUGGGCAAAGCCUGACGCAGCGACGCCGCGUGGGGAUGAAGGUCUUCGGAUU